AACUAAUCAUAUUAGGUGAGGUUACUCUGAAGAACAUAGGUUAUCGCUCAAAACUGUCGAGAGACAAUAAUGGGUAAAGCAGGACUAGUCGAAUCAAGGCUUUUCCAAGAUAACUAGAAAUAUCAUUUCUUACGUCUCAGAAAGCCAAAACUCAAAUGUCGUGAUUAAAU
rnacentral:sRNA from 18 species